rnacentral:rRNA from 1 species
GUUGAACGCUGGCGGCGUGCCUAAUACAUGCAAGUCGAGCGAAGCGGGGAGAGGUGAGAAUAACGUGGAUAACCCCCUAUAAGACGGGGAUAACCUCGGGAAACCGGAGCUAAACCCGAUACUUAUAGCUGGAUCCGUACGGUAUUAGCUAGUUGGUAAGGUAACGGCUUACCAAGGCAACGAUGCAUAGCCGACCUGAGAGGGUGAUCGGCCACACUGGAACUGAGACACGGUCCAGACUCCUACGGGAGGCAGCAGUGGGGAAUCUUCCGCAAUGGGCGCAAGCCUGACGGAGCCAUGCCGCGUGAGUGAAGAAGGUCUUCGGGUCGUAAAGCUCUGUUAUCAGGGAGGCGGUACCUGCAGAAGAAGCCACGGCUAACUACGUGCCAGCAGCCGCGGUAAUUC